UUCUGUCGGGACGGGCUCUGGGCUCACUGUCCGGGACUCGAGUCGACGUGGUUACUUUGAGUAAAUUAGAGUGUUCAAAGCAGGCUUACGCCUGAAUACUUUAGCAUGGAAUAACACGAUAGGACUCUGGCCUAUCUUGUUGGUCUGUAGGACUGGAGUAAUGAUUAAGAGGGACAGUCGGGGGCAUUCGUAUUUCAUUGUCAGAGGUGAAAUUCUUGGAUUUAUGAAAGACGAACUACUGCGAAAGCAUUUGCCAAGGAUGUUUUCAUUAAUCAAGAACGAAAGUUGGGGGCUCGAAGACGAUUAGAUACCGUCGUAGUCUCAACCAUAAACGAUGCCGACUAGGGAUUGGCGAAUGUUUUUUUAAUGACUUCGCCAGCACCUUAUGAGAAAUCAAAGUUUUUGGGUUCCGGGGGGAGUAUGGUCGCAAGGCUGAAACUUAAAGGAAUUGACGGAAGGGCACCACCAGGCGUUAACAAAGCUGAAAGCUCUAGCGCCAGUGAGGGGGAAACCUCUUGCUAGUCAACACAAUUUGAUUGUGUUGGCAACACCUUCAAAUUGCUGGAAAAUUCUAAAGCCAUUGCAUACCAAGGUGUGAAGGAAACUUCAUGCUGGCCAGGGUAAUGACCUCGGGUAUGGUGACAACUGCAAUGGAUGACGAGAUUUUCAGUCUCUGAAAUGGACAACCAGCAGCCAAGUCCUAAACAUGAUGUAAUAUCAUGCAUGGAUGCAGUUCACAGACUAAAUGGAGGUGGGCUGUCGAAUAAAUACCGACGGCUUAAGAUAUAGUCGGCCCUUAUCGAAAGAUAACCAGUAAGAGGAAACCAUGUUUAUAGUGGUGGAGAGCUUACUGGGCAUCAGGUAGUACUUGGCAGUGUGAGCUGUCAAGGGCUCCACCAUGGU
rnacentral:ncRNA from 1 species